UACGGAGGGAGCUAGCGUUGUUCGGAAUUACUGGGCGUAAAGCGCGCGUAGGCGGCUUUGUAAGUUAGAGGUGAAAGCCCGGGGCUCAACCCCGGAACUGCCUUUAAGACUGCAUCGCUUGAAUCCGGGAGAGGUGAGUGGAAUUCCGAGUGUAGAGGUGAAAUUCGUAGAUAUUCGGAAGAACACCAGUGGCGAAGGCGGCUCACUGGGCCGGCAUUGACGCUGAGGUGCGAAAGCGUGGGGAGCAAACAGG
rnacentral:rRNA from 1 species